rnacentral:RNase_MRP_RNA from 1 species
UUUGCUAGGGGAAAUUCCUCGGACAGCAGGGCAGCAAGUGCCAGCCGUAACUGGUAAAUCCCCCAAAUCCGCUGCGUUUCGCGAAGAUGGUGGUAGCACACUGGAGUGAGCAGAGAAUUUGGGCAAAUUUUGUCAUAGCAAAGUUAUGCAACCACCCUUCAUAUCAAAGAUAUGAUGGGCUACUCAACGAGGAUUAUAC